UCGGGGUACUCGAGUGGCGAACGGGUGAGUAACACGUGGGUGAUCUGCCCUGCACUUUGGGAUAAGCCUGGGAAACUGGGUCUAAUACCGAAUAAGGACCACGCGACUUCAUGGUGUGUGGUGGAAAGCUUUUGCGGUGUGGGAUGGGCCCGCGGCCUAUCAGCUUGUUGGUGGGGUUAUGGCCUACCAAGGCGACGACGGGUAGCCGGCCUGAGAGGGUGACCGGCCACACUGGGACUGAGAUACGGCCCAGACUCCUACGGGAGGCAGCAGUGGGGAAUAUUGCACAAUGGGCGCAAGCCUGAUGCAGCGACGCCGCGUGAGGGAUGACGGCCUUCGGGUUGUAAACCUCUUUCAAUAGGGACGAAGCGCAAGUGACGGUACCUAUAGAAGAAGCACCGGCCAACUACGUGCCAGCAGCCGCGGUAAUACGUAGGGUGCGAGCGUUGUCCGGAAUUACUGGGCGUAAAGAGCUCGUAGGUGGUUUGUCGCGUUGUUCGUGAAAACUCACAGCUUAACUGUGGGCGUGCGGGCGAUACGGGCAGACUAGAGUACUGCAGGGGAGACUGGAAUUCCUGGUGUAGCGGUGGAAUGCGCAGAUAUCAGGAGGAACACCGGUGGCGAAGGCGGGUCUCUGGGCAGUAACUGACGCUGAGGAGCGAAAGCGUGGGGAGCGAACAGGAUUAGAUACCCUGGUAGUCCACGCCGUAAACGGUGGGUACUAGGUGUGGGUUCCUUCCUUGGGAUCCGUGCCGUAGCUAACGCAUUAAGUACCCCGCCUGGGGAGUACGGCCGCAAGGCUAAAACUCAAAGGAAUUGACGGGGGCCCGCACAAGCGGCGGAGCAUGUGGAUUAAUUCGAUGCAACGCGAAGAACCUUACCUGGGUUUGACAUGCACAGGACGCCGGCAGAGAUGUCGGUUCCCUUGUGGCCUGUGUGCAGGUGGUGCAUGGCUGUCGUCAGCUCGUGUCGUGAGAUGUUGGGUUAAGUCCCGCAACGAGCGCAACCCUUGUCCUAUGUUGCCAGCGGGUUAUGCCGGGGACUCGUAGGAGACUGCCGGGGUCAACUCGGAGGAAGGUGGGGAUGACGUCAAGUCAUCAUGCCCCUUAUGUCCAGGGCUUCACACAUGCUACAAUGGCCGGUACAAAGGGCUGCGAUGCCGUGAGGUGGAGCGAAUCCUUUCAAAGCCGGUCUCAGUUCGGAUCGGGGUCUGCAACUCGACCCCGUGAAGUCGGAGUCGCUAGUAAUCGCAGAUCAGCAACGCUGCGGUGAAUACGUUCCCGGGCCUUGUACACACCCGCCCGUCACGUCAUGAAAGUCGGUAACACCCGAAGCCC
rnacentral:rRNA from 1 species